rnacentral:snRNA from 1 species
AUUCGUCGGUUAAGAGGCGUUACCAUAGCCAGUGAGGGUUAUCUGAAGCGUGGUUAAUGCUUGUUGAAAACUAUUUAUCACUUAAGACCAUCUCGGAAUUUCCCCGUAGAGUUUCAAUUUGACUAAACGUUUAUUU